GACAGGGGUCUCGAGCGUUAAUCGGAAUCACUGGGCUUAAAGGGUGCGUAGGUGGGCAAGUAAGUCAGUGGUGAAAUCUCCGGGCUUAACCCGGAAACUGCCAUUGAUACUAUUUGUCUUGAAUACUGUUGAGGUCAGCGGAAUAUGUCAUGUAGCGGUGAAAUGCUUAGAUAUGACAUAGAACACCAAUUGCGAAGGCAGCUGGCUACACAAAUAUUGACACUGAGGCACGAAAGCGUGGGGAUCAAACAGG
rnacentral:rRNA from 1 species